rnacentral:lncRNA from 1 species
UUAGAAAACACUUUAUUGAUUAGUAAACACUUUAUUGACUAAUAGUGAGCAAACAAUACAGGCAAGUUUGGCAUUACACACAGAAACAGAUCAUUAAUCGGAAAAGCCAACUCAACAUCUUCCUUGUACAUUUACCGCAUCAAAGCCUGCAUGCAGCAGCCCAGCAGCUCUGAACUUGAGGUCCUCAACAACCUUGGUUUUGAAUCCUAACUUUCACCUGUGAGGCUUGGUCCAAGUGUUGGAUCUCUGUACAUCUCUGUUUUCGGAGGAUUAAAUGUCAAUCACAGUCCCUGCCACAUGGUCCUGAAUAUUAGUGGGCAUUCCAGGAAUAAAUUUCAAUACAUAAAGAAUGACCCAGUUCCUGCUUUUAUAGGAUUUGGUGGGGGAGAGUCAGGGAGAAGCAGGUAGUUAAAACAUGUUCUGUAUAAACACAGAACUGACGUAUGGAAAGUGCUAUGGUCAAGGACAGAGGGCUCAGCAUUUUCUGAGUACCUAUCCAAUGCCAGAUACUUUAAAAGGAUACGUGAGGGGGAUGUCACAACUGGUUGAGAGGGAAGGAGAAAUCCAGGAAGGCUUCCUAGAGAGGGGAGCAUUUGAGAUGAGCCUUGAAGGAUUAUCAGGAUUCCAGUAGCCUAGGUGCCCAACAUCAAUCUUUUAAAAAAUAACCUCAUCCAGGAAGAAUUGCCAGAGGAUUAAAAAUCAUGCUGAGUUCAAUCAAAAAUCACCACUGGAGUGUGAAAACAACUUUCCUAAUUAAGCAGUUCCAGAACAUUCCCAGCUUUGGGCUGCAUGAGUAGUGUCACAGAACUGUAACAUCCUGAGCAGGGUAGUAAGGUGCACCCUCCGCGGACAGUUACCAGGGUGGACCUGGAGAAGAGCAUUUUGGGUCUGACAUGGAGCACUGUGCUCAGGGGUCCUGUACCCCACAGUGGGAGGAUAUUAGCAAGCACCACCCACGAGACCUGAGCACCCAGACCUACACUGCUUUAGAAUAGACUGGCUUGCACUGAGGAUGUUUAAGGCGAAGGGUAAAGGAUGUUCCAUCUAGUUUAGUUUCACUGCAGCUCAUACUUGGAAACUCGAUAGACUGGGUGGCUGUCCAGCCCCUCGAGUCCCGAUAUUUCACUCUACGGAGAGUUACAAGCCCUGGUCAGACCCUAAAUAGCACUUACAGCUCCACCGUUAGCAGCUCAUCUUUCAGCACACAGGACUGAAAUCAUCCGUCACUGUCAGCUCUGAACAGUCACAGACAAAGGAAAGGAUGCAAUUUAGAAACAGGGCAUCUCUAUGUUUCUCCAAUGCUUGUGACUAUGCUCAUUUUAAGUUUAAUGAGAGGAAAGGCCUCUUGCCCAAGCGCCUAGGACCUAACUUGAAGAGUUCAGGGCAGAGGAUGGAGGGGACGCACAAGGACCACCACACGGGGGGCACAGACAGUUCCUGGGCAGCCAGAGCCCUGAUUACGGGCAGUUUUAUGAACAGGACAACAUGUCUUCCACAUCCUGUUCUCCCCACUUCUCCAGAAUCCAGACCUGAGUUACUGUAAAAGGUGUGUGUGUCGGGGGGGGGGGGGGGGGGGGCGGGUAAAGAAGGAAGAAAAGGAGAAGGAGAUGGAAAACAAUUCAAAAAAAAAAAACCCUUUGACAGAACCCGAUAACCCAGAGUACAUGGUGAUCGGCGCCGGACGGCAUACAAAAGCCAAAAGGCAGGUCCCAGGACGGGUCAACUUAAGACUUAAUAUUUGCCUUUCACUGAGCAAACUAAUAAAUCCCCUAUGGUUUUAGCCACGCAGAGCUCCUAGUUUUUAUUUAUUGGUCAGAACUGGAGGCACGUUUUUUUUUUUUCCCCUCCUCGUCACCAGGGCAAAUAGCAGUCCCCUGCCCACUCCUGUCAUCAGUCUGUAUGUCUAUUUGCUUUCUCCCUCAACAAACUCAUGUUCAGUGCAACUGACAACAAGUGCAAACAGCUUUGAAGUAUUCUUUGGUAAUGGACUUCCCCGGCCGGCCGUGCGGGGGCUUGUGCAGCUGAAGGCAAAGGAAGAAAGCCACUUGUCUAAGAACAGCAGACGUCAGCUGGUCAGGCAAGGCUCGGAACUUGACACAGGCGGGGACCUAGGAGGAUCAUCACGACCAACCACGUCCGUUUCCCUCUCCCACUUUACUGAUGAGAAAACUGAGACUCAGAGAACGGGCUUGAGUGACACGAUCUUGGAGCGACUGAAAGGAAGGCAGGACUGGAGUCCAGGUCUCUAGAUGCGCCUCUGCUCAGGGCUCUUUUCAGGCCUGGGCAGAGAUGGUCUUGCUCCAUCUGCUCUCUCCCUAAAGUGGAGGGUGGGGAGCCAGCCCUGCUUCCCAACAGCCUGGCAUGAAGGAGUCUCAUCCAAGGUCAGUAGGCAUUCCCAAGGUCACCCUAUGCCUUUUAAACCAUACCCUCCUGAGCAGAGGGACUUACUUCACCAUUAGAACCCCCUAUUUCUCCAUCAACACAUAGCUUUCCAGGAUCACUGCAAGAGGAUAAAACUUCCCUGUGGGUCACGUUUCAGUGUCAUGGGAAAAUCUCACAGCAAAGCUUGAACAAAAUCUUGGUGGGGGGGCACUAAUUUGAGGUUGUGUUCAUGAUGAAUUGAAGCAAGAUGCAUAUGUUCAGCAUGUGGAUGAAAUACCCUUACAUUGUACCUUGGGCAAUGUCUAAUACACUAUUCUCCUAUGGAACAGAAGUAGCAAAUCUUUAAGUCCUGAACUCUAUCAAAUAUGACAGCAUUAUUGAUGUCAGAGCUAGAAGAGGCUUCAGGGAUCAUGCGGCCCGACUCCCUCAUUUUACAGGGAAGGAACCAAGAUCAGCGGCUUUUUGAGACAAAAACGCAGGUCUCCUCGUCUCCCCAUUCUGUGCUUUCUAUCAGCAUAAGAUAUACUACCUGGAUCCAGAAGUAAGAGACGUACACAUGUCAGAGAGAGGGCAAAACGCAUUUGGCUCAAAAUCUCAUUAAGAAAUUGACAUUCAUGGUCACUUGGCAGCCCAUGAAUUGCUCUUUAAAAUUCUACGGCUUCCCACCAGGUUGAAUACCAUUCAACCUUCUCUCACAGUCCUCUCCCACUCUGCCAAGAAGGCUGCCUCCCCCAGGGCUGACUAUCCCCUGUUGGAUGUGGGAAAGGGGAUUCCUGCAUUAGUCAGAGGAGAUCUAGAUAAGAAUUAUGCUUUAGAUCACUUCAAGCUCCGGGAUGCCAGGAUUCCAUGUGGAUGAGAAGAUAAGGAGAGAGAGAGAAAAAGGAGAUUGUUGCCUUUGGCACAAUAGCAGGACUUCUGGAACCAAAGACCAUAAGUGGAACAUAAGUGAAGGAAACAUCUGAAAUGAGUUCAUCUUUUUAAAAAGAAAAAUGGCACCCAAAGAGCUGGGCUAGCCUUCCUUCCAUGACAGUGAAGGCAGUGAGAGUCAGAACAGGGGCAAAGACCCAGGUGCAUGGCGGGGAGGGGUCUUGAUCUUUACACAUGAGUAAUGAGAGGGUAGUUUCCAGAUGUCUGCAUGCUCAUCUCCACCUCGGCAUGCAAUGACCUCCCUGUGGCCACACCACGCAAGAUCAGCGGGAUUAGCUGGAAGCUCAUGUUCCAGCCCCACAGAUGCUCACACUUGUCUUUCAGCAGGAAAGAUGGAGGCCUGAUCCCCUGACAAGAAGCAACAACUUCAGGAAGGCAUGCAAUCCUGAAAGCCUGGCUUUGACUAACCUGAAAAGAACCUGUAAUUUGCCUUCAGGUUGUUCUUACUUGUCAUGAACACCAAAAAUUGGGCUGGCACCACCUUCCCCUCCUCCACCCCCCACUACCACCACCAAGUUCCGCUCCUUUAUCCCAGAUAAAGUCAGUGUCUGGAAAGGUACGAGUGAGCUGGGAGGUCCCAUUCAAGACUAUCUGAGAUGAACUCAAAGG